ACUAAGGAAAAGAAAAUCAACCUGAAGAGAGGCCCUACCUGCCAUGCCUCAUCCUGUCUGAGCAUCUGAAACAGCACACCUUCACUUCCCAUAUGAAAGAGCAUGCUUUCAAACGAGCAGCCUCAAUCUGUAUCAGAUACCUUUUGUUGCCCUAAUGAAUCUUGUCUGAGAGUCUCCCAUGGAUACAAAGCCUAUGCAAAACUUGGUUUAGAGGAAACCGGGAAAACCGUGGUACCUCAUGAAUCAGACCCCCAUGAACCCACACACCCGCACCACGUUACACGCGACGUUGGUGCCCAACGCCUGGCUUGAAGAACAGAGAAGUCAGCCACAUAGAGAACUGGAAAGAACACUCUCAGAUGUCUUAUGCAUGAAAGUCUUUGCAGAUAGAAGCUGGUGGUAGAGUUGCUCAAUUAUUGUUGGCCCCAUAUCCUAAAGUUUGAUUGGGUCAGAUUUGGAUUAUUGCAUCAGCAGAGAGGCUUAUGGAGUUCAGAAACUUUUCAGCUUUGGCAAGACUCUCCUGUGAUGACCCUGGUACAGAAGCUCACUGAGAGGAUAUUGAACACACCGAAAGAACUGGUGGGUGCAGUUAUUCUGGGAAUCAAAGCAUUGACAACUACAGCAGCAACAGCUGAAAUGGAACUUCAUCAAAAAAUACAAACUGCCGAAUUCAUCGGAGACUGGCAUAAGCACUCAACAGAACUAUGGACUAAACAAAAUAAGAUUGAUAAUGCGAUAAUGAAUAAACUAGCUGAGUUAAGGCAAGCUGUUAUAUUGCUAGGGGAUCAGUUAAAAUUUUUGAAGGAGCAGAUAAAAUAAAAAUGAUUGGAAUGUUUAUGCUUUUGUACCAGACCCUUAAGAUUUAAUGAAAGCAAGUGUGAUUGGGGUAGUUAUAGUUACAUCCUCUAGUAUCUUAACUAAGAGCAUAUCAGGUGCUAGAUUCAGAUUCAUCAAUAUACAACAGCUAUAUUGGACUAAUCUGUAAUUUGCCAUUUACUUAUGAGCUGGACAUUUAAUUUAGUAUGUGCUUCUUACUUGACGUUGUUCUUGCUGGUUGUAGUUCCAUUUUUGUUUAUGUUAUUACCCUUUUUAUCUCCUGGACAAUACUUGAUAAUCAUUUUUAUUGCAUAUAGUUUUUAGAUUUAGAACCUUCUUAUUUAGACACAAAAAGGGUAAGUGCAAUGGGAAUUCGUUCUACCCAUGACCUUGGACUAUGUGGCCUGAUAGAGGUUGUGCUUCUUGUCUCCCUACGUGACCUUUUAAAAGGAAAGAAGGAAGGGCUUGCUUGCUGUUGCUUGGGUAGUGAAGACCUGGUCAGGUGGCUGAGGCAGCAUGUGAUCGAUCCCCAGCUUUCCAAGGAGUCUGUGACUGGACUUACCAUAUCCUGUAUUCAUGACUGUAUUUUCCCCUUUUCAUGCCUUAACAAAUCUUCGAUACCACUUAAACAGAUGCGUGCGAAUUUAAGGUAACACUCACUUACACUCUACGGAAACCCAAUAGACUCACUAGAUCCCCAGUGUGAACUUUGGCAGACUAGUUCCUCUGCUUGUUGGGAACGUAGCAGAAGAGGUGGGCAGUAAUUACUCCCCCCCCCCCCCGGGAAAGAGAUUUACUAACACAUGAAUACUAUUUAUUUUGAUAACAAGACCUUGUCUUUAAAAAAAAAAAAAGUGCCUGUGUGGUGUUUUGAUGUAGGCUAGACAAUCAAACACCUCUAUGGGGCGUCUUCCCUGGGGCUCAUACAGUGGGUGUAUCUUGCUACCAGAUUCUGGUGCCCUGGAACAAGGAUCAUUCCUCAAAGUGAGCAAGAAAUGGUGUAAUAUUUAAUAAGAUCUAGACUCAGUGGCACUUAAGGCUGUGAAAGCUGUCAGAACCAAAAUAGAAUUCCAUGUGUCAACCCUAGCAAAUAAUUAGAAAAUAAAGCCAGAAGGAGAUGAAUGAAGGGUUCUUAUGCAUGAUAACACUA